GCUGGCGGCGUGCCUAACACAUGCAAGUCGAACGAGAAAGUGGAGCAAUCCAUGAGUAAAGUGGCGACCGGGUGAGUAACACGUGACUAACCUACCUCCGAGUGGGGAAUAACUCCGGGAAACCGGGGCUAAUACCGCAUAACAUCGCAAGAUCAAAGCAGCAAUGCGCUUGGAGAGGGGGUCGCGGCUGAUUAGCUAGUUGGUGGGGUAACGGCCCACCAAGGCGAAGAUCGGUAUCCGGCCUGAGAGGGCGCACGGACACACUGGAACUGAAACACGGUCCAGACUCCUACGGGAGGCAGCAGUGGGGAAUUUUGCGCAAUGGGGGAAACCCUGACGCAGCAACGCCGCGUGGAGGAUGAAGCCCUUUGGGGCGUAAACUCCUUUCGACUCGGACGAUUAUGACGGUACGAGUGGAAGAAGCACCGGCUAACUCUGUGCCAGCAGCCGCGGUAAUACAGAGGGUGCGAGCGUNGUUCGGAAUUAUUGGGCGUAAAGGGCGCG
rnacentral:rRNA from 1 species